rnacentral:rRNA from 1 species
UACGUAGGGCGCAAGCGUUAUCCGGAAUUAUUGGGCGUAAAGAGCUCGUAGGCGGUUUGUCGCGUCUGCUGUGAAAGACCGGGGCUCAACUCCGGUUCUGCAGUGGGUACGGGCAGACUAGAGUGAUGUAGGGGAGACUGGAAUUCCUGGUGUAGCGGUGAAAUGCGCAGAUAUCAGGAGGAACACCGAUGGCGAAGGCAGGUCUCUGGGCAUUAACUGACGCUGAGGAGCGAAAGCAUGGGGAGCGAACGGG